CCUGAGAUGGGAGCCGCCUCCUCAGACCUUCAUCUUCAUCAUCAUGGGCAUCGCUGAAGGCCUGGUUCUGCUGGGAGCUGUGGCUGGAGCUGUGAUGUGGGGGGGGAGGCGCUCAGGUGGGAAAGGAGGGAUUUACGCUCAGGCUGCCAGUGAGUAUAGAGGGGGGGGACCCCUGAGUCCUUGUGACAGUGCAGAUGGGAGCCAUGG